rnacentral:ncRNA from 1 species
UAUAGGGGGGCUGGGUGAUCCCGGCUGAGAUAGGGCUAAUUGAGGCCCGUACCCUUGAACCUGAUGCGGGUAAUGCCGACGUAGGAAAGCUUUU